UACAGAGGGGGCAAGCGUUGUUCGGAAUUACUGGGCGUAAAGGGCGCGUAGCGGCCCGCUAAGUCGAACGUGAAAUCCCCGAGCUCAACUCGGGAACUGCGUCCGAUACUGGUGGGCUUGAAUCCGGGAGAGGGAUGCGGAAUUCCAGGUGUAGCGGUGAAAUGCGUAGAUAUCUGGAGGAACACCGGUGGCGAAGGCGGCAUCCCGGACCGACACUGACGCUGAGGCGCGAAAGCCAGGGGAGCAAACGGG
rnacentral:rRNA from 1 species